AGAGUUUGAUCCUGGCUCAGGAUGAACGCUAGCGGCAGGCUUAACACAUGCAAGUCGAGGGGCAGCAUAAUGGAUAGCAAUAUCUAUGGUGGCGACCGGCGCACGGGUGCGUAACGCGUAUGCAACCUACCUUUAACAGGGGGAUAACACUGAGAAAUUGGUACUAAUACCCCAUAAUAUCAUAGAAGGCAUCUUUUAUGGUUGAAAAUUCCGAUGGUUAGAGAUGGGCAUGCGUUGUAUUAGCUAGUUGGUGGGGUAACGGCUCACCAAGGCGACGAUACAUAGGGGGACUGAGAGGUUAACCCCCCACACUGGUACUGAGACACGGACCAGACUCCUACGGGAGGCAGCAGUGAGGAAUAUUGGUCAAUGGACGCAAGUCUGAACCAGCCAUGCCGCGUGCAGGAAGACGGCUCUAUGAGUUGUAAACUGCUUUUGUACGAGGGUAAACUCACCUACGUGUAGGUGACUGAAAGUAUCGUACGAAUAAGGAUCGGCUAACUCCGUGCCAGCAGCCGCGGUAAUACGGAGGAUUCAAGCGUUAUCCGGAUUUAUUGGGUUUAAAGGGUGCGUAGGCGGUUUGAUAAGUUAGAGGUGAAAUCCCGGGGCUUAACUCCGGAACUGCCUCUAAUACUGUUAGACUAGAGAGUAGUUGCGGUAGGCGGAAUGUAUGGUGUAGCGGUGAAAUGCUUAGAGAUCAUACAGAACACCGAUUGCGAAGGCAGCUUACCAAACUAUAUCUGACGUUGAGGCACGAAAGCGUGGGGAGCAAACAGGAUUAGAUACCCUGGUAGUCCACGCAGUAAACGAUGAUAACUCGUUGUCGGCGAUACACAGUCGGUGACUAAGCGAAAGCGAUAAGUUAUCCACCUGGGGAGUACGUUCGCAAGAAUGAAACUCAAAGGAAUUGACGGGGGCCCGCACAAGCGGAGGAACAUGUG
rnacentral:rRNA from 1 species